UGAAGAACGCAGCGAAAUGCGAUACCUAGUGUGAAUUGCAGAAUUCCGUGAAUCAUCGAGUUUUUGAACGCAAGUUGCGCCUGAGGCUCGUACCGAGGGCAUGUCUGUCUGAGCGUCCA
rnacentral:rRNA from 5 species